rnacentral:rRNA from 1 species
UACAGAGGUCCCAAGCGUUGUUCGGAUUCACUGGGCGUAAAGGGUGCGUAGGUGGCCUGUUAAGUUUGAUGUGAAAGCUCAGGGCUUAACCCUGAAAUGGCAUUGAAUACUAGCGUGCUGGAGGUUUGGAGGGGGGACUGGAAUUCUCGGUGUAGCAGUGAAAUGCGUAGAUAUCGAGAGGAACACCAGUGGCGAAGGCGAGUCCCUGGACAACACCUGACACUGAGGCACGAAAGCCGGGGGAGCAAACAGG